AUACGGAGGGUGCAAGCGUUAAUCGGAAUUACUGGGCGUAAAGCGCUCGUAGGCGGCUUGUAAAGUCGGAUGUGAAAGCCCCGGGCUCAACCUGGGAACUGCAUUCGAUACUGGCAGGCUAGAGUAUAGUAGAGGCAAGUGGAAUUCCGGGUGUAGCGGUGAAAUGCGUAGAUAUCCGGAGGAACAUCAGUGGCGAAGGCGACUUGCUGGACUAAUACUGACGCUAAGGAGCGAAAGCGUGGGGAGCAAACGGGAUUAGAAACCCGAGUAGUCC
rnacentral:rRNA from 1 species